rnacentral:rRNA from 1 species
UACGUAGGUGGCGAGCGUUGUCCGGAUUUACUGGGCGUAAAGGGAGCGUAGGCGGACUUUUAAGUGAGAUGUGAAAUACUCGGGCUCAACUUGAGUGUUGCAUCUCAAACUGGAAGUCUAGAGUGCAGGAGAGGAGAAUGGAAUUCCUAGUGUAGCGGUGAAAUGCGUAGAGAUUAGGAAGAGCACCAGUGGCGAAGGCGAUUCUCUGGACUGUAACUGACGCUGAGGCUCGAAAGCGUGGGGAGCAAACAGG